GGAGGGAUAGCUCAGUUGGUAGAGCAUGAAACUAUUAAUCUCAGGGCCAUGGAUUCAAGUGAAAUAUUCCUGUA